UACGUAGGGUGCGAGCGUUGUCCGGAAUUACUGGGCGUAAAGGGCGCGUAGGCGGCCUUCUAAGUCAGACGUGAAAUCCCUCGGCUCAACCGGGGAACUGCGUCUGAUACUGGGAGGCUUGAAUCCGGGAGAGGAAUGCGGAAUUCCAGGUGUAGCGGUGAAAUGCGUAGAUAUCUGGAGGAACACCGGUGGCGAAGGCGGCAUUCUGGACCGGCAUUGACGCUGAGGCGCGAAAGCCAGGGGAGCAAACGGG
rnacentral:rRNA from 1 species